UCGCCGCCGCGAGGCGCCGCCCGGCCGCUGCCGCCUCGCCCUGGCCGCCGCCUUCCUGGCGCUGCUCGUCGCCGCCGCGGUCUUCGCGGGUGAGAGGCGCUCGCCGGCCGUCGCUCUGUCUGUCCAUCUGUCGGUCUGUCCAUCUGUCGGGCCGCCCGUCGGUCUGUCCGGCCGUCGGUCUGUCCCUCGGUCUGUCGGGCCGUCUGUCGGGCCGUCCGUCGGUCUGUCCGGCCGCCCGUCGGUCUGUCCGGCCGUCGGUCUCUCUGUCCAUCCGUCGGUCCGUCCGUCGCUCUGUCCGUCCGUCCGUCUGUCAGUCCCUCCGUCGGUCUGUCGCUCAGGCCUUCGGGGCGCCCUGCGCCCGCUGCCCCCCCGGCUGGGUCCCCUUCGGGGGCAGCUGCUACGGCCCCUCGGCCGCCCAGGGCAGCUGGACGGACGGACGGGACAACUGCUCCGCGCUGGGCGCCGCGCUGGCCGUGCUGCCGGGCGCCGAGGACGUGGGCUUCGCCGCCGCCGCGUUCGGAGCCGCUUCGGGCCGCUGGAUCGGGCUGCGGCGGAGCGACGAGCGGCAGCCGUGGCGCUGGGCCGACGGCUCCCGGCCGCCCCCGCCGUGAGUCCGCGACCCCCCCCCCAAAAUAAAAUAAAAUAAAAUAAAAUAAAAUAAACCCCCCAAAACGGGCCAUUCCUCCUCCUCGGUCUCCUCGAAACGCGGCCCGUCCGGAGGGGGGUUAGUAAAUACAUAUAUAUAAUUUUUAUUUUGUUUUUGGGUGUUUUCUGCUCUGUCGUCUCCCGCCGCAGGUCGAGCGUCCGCGGCGGCGGCCGCUGCGGCUACGUGGACGGCGGCGGCCUCGGCUCGUCCGCCUGCGGCGCCCGCAGGA